UACGUAGGUGGCAAGCGUUGUCCGGAUUUACUGGGCGUAAAGAGCGCGCAGGCGGUCGAGUAAGUCGAAUGUGAAAGCCCCCGGCUUAACUGGGGAGGGUCAUUCGAUACUGUUCGACUUGAAGGCAGGAGAGGGCAGCAGAAUUCCCGGUGUAGUGGUGAAAUGCGUAGAUAUCGGGAGGAACACCAGUGGCGAAGGCGGCUUCCUGGCCUGUUCUUGACGCUGAGGCGCGAAAGCUAGGGUAGCAAACGGG
rnacentral:rRNA from 1 species